rnacentral:rRNA from 1 species
GACGAACGCUGGCGGCGUGCUUAACACAUGCAAGUCGAACGGAAAGGCCCUGCUUUUGUGGGGUGCUCGAGUGGCGAACGGGUGAGUAACACGUGAGUAACCUGCCCUUGACUGUGGGAUAACUUCAGGAAACUGGGGCUAAUACCGGAUAGGAGCUCCUGCUGCAUGGUGGGGGCUGGAAAGUUUCGGCGGUUGGGGAUGGACUCGCGGCGUAUCAGCUUGUUGGUGGGGUAGUGGCUUACCAAGGCUUUGACGGGUAGCCGGCCUGGGAGGGUGACCGGCCACAUUGGGACUGAGAUACGGCCCAGACUCCUACGGGAGGCAGCAGUGGGGAAUAGUGCACAAUGGGCGGAGGCCUGAUGCAGCAACGCCGCGUGCGGGAUGACGGCCUUCGGGUUGUAAACCGCUUUCGCCUGUGACGAAGCGUGAGUGACGGUAAUGGGUAAAGAAGCACCGGCUAACUACGUG